GACGAACGCUGGCGGCGUGCCUAACACAUGCAAGUCGAACGGGGCACCUUCGGGUGCUUAGUGGCGAACGGGUGAGUAACGCGUGAGAAACCUGCCUCUCAGUGGGGGACAACAGUUGGGAACGACUGCUAAUACCGCAUAAUGUUUCGGAAGGGCAUCCUUCUGAAACCAAAGCUUUAUGUGCUGAGAGAUGGUCUCGCGUCUGAUUAGCUAGAUGGCGGGUAACGGCCCACCAUGGCGACGAUCAGUAGCCGGUCUGAGAGGAUGAACGGCCACAUUGGGACUGAGAUACGGCCCAG
rnacentral:rRNA from 1 species